rnacentral:rRNA from 1 species
AUUGAACGCUGGCGGAAUGCUUUACACAUGCAAGUCGAGCGGCAGCACGGGGGCAACCCUGGUGGCGAGCGGCGAACGGGUGAGUAAUACAUCGGAACAUGCCCAGUCGUGGGGGAUAACACUUCGAAAGAAGUGCUAAUACCGCAUACGUCCUGAGGGAGAAAGCGGGGGAUCUUCGGACCGCGCGCGAGUGGAUUGGCCGAUGUCAGAUUAGCUAGUUGGUGGGGUAAAGGCCUACCAAGGCAACGAUCUGUAGCUGGUCUGAGAGGAUGAUCAGCCACACUGGGACUGAGACACGGCCCAGACUCCUACGGGAGGCAGCAGUGGGGAAUUUUGGACAAUGGGGGCAACCCUGAUCCAGCCAUUCCGCGUGAGUGAAGAAGGCCUUCGGGUUGUAAAGCUCUUUCGGCAGGAACGAAACGGCGAGCUCUAACAUAGCUUGCUAAUGACGGUACCUGAAGAAGAAGCACCGGCUAACUACGUGCCAGCAGCCGCCGUAAAAC